UGAGUAACACGUAUCCAACCUGCCGUCUACUCUUGGACAGCCUUCUGAAAGGAAGAUUAAUACAAGAUGGCAUCAUGAGUCCGCAUGUUCACAUGAUUAAAGGUAUUCCGGUAGACGAUGGGGAUGCGUUCCAUUAGAUAGUAGGCGGGGUAACGGCCCGCCUAGUCUUCGAUGGAUAGGGGUUCUGAGAGGAAGGUCCCCCACAUUGGAACUGAGACACGGUCCAA
rnacentral:rRNA from 1 species